AUAGCGUAUAUUAAAGUUGUUGCAGUUAAAAAGCUCGUAGUUGAACUUCGGAUCUGGUUGGGUGGUCCGCCUGACGGCGUGUUUACUGCUUGACCGGGUCUUGCCUCUUGGUGAACCGUUGUGUUCUUUAUUGAAUGCUUCGGGGAACCAGGACUUUUACCUUGAGAAAAUUAGAGUGUUCAAAGCAGGCCUAUGCCUGAAUACAUUAGCAUGGAAUAAUAAAAUAGGACGUGUGGUUCUAUUUUGUUGGUCUUUUAGAGCUGCCGUAAUGAUUAAUAGGGAUAGUUGGGGGCAUUCAUAUUCAGUCGCUAGAGGUGAAAUUCUUGGAUUGACUGAAGAUGAACUACUG
rnacentral:rRNA from 1 species